GUAAAGAGGGGAAUGUCAUAUUAAUGUGUAUGGGUAGAGUCUCUCCACGUCUCAAGUCAACAGCCAUCUGUAAAAGCAUAAGUCCGAGCAGAAACCUUUAAACAACUCUUAAGUGGGAUAGCAAUUAUCGAAUAAGGUAAACAAUGACGAGAAAGCAGCGUUAGAGCAGAAACCAUUGAACAACUCUUAAGUGGGAUAGCAAUUAUCGAAUAAGGUAAACAAUGACGAGAAAGCAGCAUUGAAGAGGAGGAAACCUGAUGAACUGUAUUUGUACUAAGAUAGUAACUCAGUUCAUGCAAAAAUAGUGUUGCCAUGAUAACCAGCCCCACAAUGGAAACUAGUGAGAGAG
rnacentral:lncRNA from 1 species